UUUUUUAUUAUUGAUUCUUGUGUUGUCUGGUAAAACAAAAAGGUGUACAAACUUUUUCCCAGACAGACUAACAGACAGAGUGAAUUGAUAUAAGCCUUGUAAAAAAAAAGCAGUGGACAUCAAUUAGUUAGACUUUUAGAGGUUGCAAACAUUGCUGGAGAUUGGUUUCUCUGGGUACAUCUUGCCGCCUAGUGCGUUGAGCGACGUGUAACGCUCGUAGUCUGAGUACGUCUUAAGGGAGAAGACAAAAAAAAUCAUACAGUAAAUUUUUCCUGUUUUUUUUUCCAGUACUUUACUCCCAGCAGAGAACUUUUGAAAGUAAAUCGUAUGCAUCUGAACUAACGAGAACUUUUCCGCAAACACCAAAAACAAAAAAAAUUACAAAGAAGUUGUGUGUUUCACACAAACUCAGAGGCGGCCCCCCCAAUGGGUCCGCGCAUGUGUGCGCUGUUUUGGUAAAAAUGCAGAUUUCCAUAUUUUUUUAAAUAAUAAUAAUAAUAAUAAUAAUAAUCUUUAUUGUCCGUAUUGUAUCACGUAUAUAAGAAUCUAUGAACUACAAUAAACAAAAAAUGACACACACACACACAUACAACACUCUUUUUUUUUUUUG